rnacentral:rRNA from 1 species
AUUGAACGCUGGCGGAAUGCUUUACACAUGCAAGUCGGACGGUAGAGGGGGCAACCCCUCGAGAGUGGCGAACGGGUGAGUAAUAUAUCGGAACGUGCCCAGUCGUGGGGGAUAACGUAGCGAAAGUUACGCUAAUACCGCAUACGAUCUAAGGAUGAAAGCGGGGGAUCGCAAGACCUCGCGUGAUUGGAGCGGCCGAUAUCAGAUUAGGUAGUUGGUGGGGUAAAGGCUCACCAAGCCAACGAUCUGUAGCUGGUCUGAGAGGACGACCAGCCACACUGGAACUGAGACACGGUCCAGACUCCUACGGGAGGCAGCAGUGGGGAAUUUUGGACAAUGGACGCAAGUCUGAUCCAGCCAUUCCGCGUGCAGGAUGAGGGCCCUCGGGUUGUAAACUGCUUUUGUACGGAACGAAAAGGUCUCUCUUAAUACGGGGGACUCAUGACGGUACCGUAAGAAUAAGCACCGGCUAACUACGUGCCAGCCGCCGCUGUAA